rnacentral:rRNA from 1 species
AUGAACGCUAGCGGCAGGCCUAAUACAUGCAAGUCGAGGGGUAGUGGAGCUUGCUCCACGAGACCGGCGCACGGGUGCGUAACGCGUAUGCAACCUACCUUCACCUGGGGGAUAGCCCGGAGAAAUCCGGAUUAACACCGCAUAAAACCACAGUACCGCAUGGUACAAUGGUCAAACAUUCAUGGGGCGGAGAUGGGCAUGCGUGCCAUUAGUUAGUUGGCGGGGUAACGGCCCACCAAGACCGCGAUGGCUAGGGGAUCUGAGAGGA